rnacentral:rRNA from 4 species
AAGCAACCUACCCUAAAGACGAGGAUAACCAUUGGAAACAGUGGCUAAGACUGGAUAGGAAGAUAAAAGGCAUCUUGUAUCUUUUAAAAGACCUAGUUAAUAGGUAUGCUUUAGGAGGGGCUUGCGCCAUAUUAGUUAGUUGGUAGGGUAAUGGCCUACCAAGACGAUGAUGUGUAGCUGGACUGAGAGGUUGAACAGCCACAUUGGGACUGAGACACGGCCCAAACUCCUACGGGAGGCAGCAGUAGGGAAUUUUCGGCAAUGGAGGAAACUCUGACCGAGCAACGCCGCGUGAAUGACGAAGUACUUCGGUAUGUAAAGUUCUUUUAUCGAGGAAGAAAAGCAAAUGGCGAACCAUUUGUUUGCCGGUACUUGAUGAAUAAGCCCCGGCUAAUUAUGUGCCAGCAGCCGCGGUAAGACAUAAGGGGCAAGUGUUAUCCGGAAUUAUUGGGCGUAAAGGGUGCGUAGGCGGUCUAGUAAGUCAGUGGUGUAAUGGCAACGCUUAACGUUGUCCGGCUAUUGAAACUGCUAAACUUGAGUUAGAUAGAGGCGAGUGGAAUUCCAUGUGUAGCGGUAAAAUGCGUAAAUAUAUGGAGGAACACCAGAGGCGUAGGCGGCUCGCUGGGUCUUAACUGACGCUGAGGCACGAAAGCGUGGGGAGCAAACAGGAUUAGAUACCCUGGUAGUCCACGCCGUAAACGAUGAGUACUAAGUGUCGGGUUAAACCGGUACUGAAGUUAACACAUUAAGUACUCCGCCUGAGUAGUACGUACGCAAGUAUGAAACUUAAAGGAAUUGACGGGACUCCGCACAAGCGGUGGAUCAUGUUGUUUAAUUCGAAGAUACCCGAAAAACCUUACCAGGUCUUGACAUGUUUUUGCAAAAUGAUAGUAAUAUCGUGGAGGUUACCAGAAACACAGGUGGUGCAUGGUUGUCGUCAGCUCGUGUCGUGAGAUGUUAGGUUAAGUCCUAAAACGAGCGAAACCCUUAUCGUUAGUUGCCAGCACGUUAUGGUGGGGACUUUAACGAGACUGCCAAUGAUAAAUUGGAGGAAGGUGAGGAUCACGUCAAAUCAGCAUGCCCCUUAUGACCUGGGCUACAAACGUGAUACAAUGGCUGUUACAAAGGGUAGCUGAAACGCAAGUUCUUGGCCAAUCCCCAAAAACAGUCCCAGUCCGGAUUGAAGUCUGCAACUCGACUUCAUGAAGUUGGAAUCGCUAGUAAUCGCGAAUCAGCAUGUCGCGGUGAAUACGUUCUCGGGGUUUGUACACACCGCCCGUCAAACCACGAAAGUUGGCAAUACCCCAAAACGGUAGCCUAACUCGUUUAUUCGAGAGGGCGCCGUCUAAGGUAGGGUCGAUGAUUGGGGUUAAGUCGUAACAAGGUAUCCCUACCGGAAGGUGGGGAUGGAUCACCU